GCCAAGCGUGGCUGGAGGAUACGACCAUAGGAAGUCUGCCGAGAAGGGUUACACACAACAUAGGCUCCAGUUGUCAUAAAAAUGGGCCCCCUUCAUCAUUUGAGCACUACUUUUGUACAAUGGUGCACAUAGAAACAGAGAAUUACAAGCAAUAGUGAUUUCAAAUCCAAUUCUUGGACAAAACUUGAGAAAGAAUAAUGAAGCUAGCAACAGCUGUUUGUUAGUGCGGCUUGUAUUAUAGGCAGAGGCUUUGGCGUGCUCUUUUCCACACAUCUAGCAGCUCUUAGAUUUUGUUCAGGAUAAUUUUUAUACCGUACGGUGGAAUAUAUAUUUGUUGUAAAUUGGUUCUUUUUAUUUGAGAAAAAUAAGUAGAGUUUUAAAAUGAUUUUUGUUAAGAGCUACUGUUGAACCAAACAGAUAUGAAACUGACCACUGGUUU
rnacentral:misc_RNA from 1 species